rnacentral:ncRNA from 2 species
AUUAUUUCAAAAGCGCCUGGACUAUUUCUUGUAAAGGAAUAGUUGACGAGGAGGAGGUUCAUCGAGUUUUCGGCGGAUGCCUCCCGGUUGUUUACACCUCAACCGAAACAUACUCAUCUAAAACAAAGAGGCGACUCUUUGCACAAAAGAUGCGUAUAAGGUGACAA